CCACCCCACAUCCACCAAACAUGCAAGAAUGAUCAAGAACUCACUGCCUGAAAGGCCAGCGAAGCAGAAAUACUUUCUUUAUUUAGUCCAGUAGUCGGUGGGCAGCCUCCUGGCCCUGUACUGGAAGAUUGAACUCUCCCUUGAACUUGACUACAAAUUGCUGGAAAGUCCAGGCUGCAGGGGAACGUUGUUCUUGUAGAGCUCGAGUGGGAGUCCACCUAAGAGAUUCAACAUAUGUCCUUGAAGCGAAGCAGGGGUCUACCAAUAUUCCUCUUGCCUGUUGCGAGUUCUCCGUCGAGGAUGUCCUUUGGCAGUCUACCAUCCUUCAUACGACAGACAUGGCCCAGCCAGCGCAGUCUGCGUUGUCUUAUAAGCGUGAACAUUGUGGGAAGUCCAGCACGGGAGAGGACCUCAGAGUUUGGGACUUCCUCUCUCCAGGUGAUGCCGAGGAUGCAGAGAAGGCUGCACAGGCAGCCUCAAAGCAAGGAACCCGAAAGAACACAACUGAAAAAGAUAAAAUCAAGACCAACACCCGAUUCGCAGAGAAAGGGAAAGAAAACACAAGUUGAGCAAACAACGGAAGUAAGCCACAACAUUCCAAAUUGAAAUGGCUCCUUCCCUAGAGCAGCCCAGAGUAGGCCCAAAGCCUUGGAGUCAGUUCAUCAUAUUAGCAGUCACAGGACAGAGCAGCGAGGGCAGUCUUCAUAGCCUCAGCACCAUGGAGACAGGGUGAACGUUGUGGGAGAGCAAUCAAAAUUGCCUUUCACCUCCGAUCCCGACACCCUGACUUUCCAGUCUCUUUAGGCUAAUAUUUAAAUUGUCCAGAUAGCAUAUCAUACCUUGCACUUGUACCCAGGCCCCACUGCAGCUAAAGGCUCUGGGCCAGAACCAAACCACCCAGUGACUCACUCCAGGCCCAGAUUUCACUCUAUCCAGCCCAAAGCUGCUCUUAAUUUCUCCAAAUCAACUCAGUGCCCAGAGCAAUCUGAGCUCACACCCACGGCACUCAAAACUCCUCUGCCUCGACUUCUCUUCUCCAAAUGGCUCAGUACAGUUCAUCCCUCUAAUUCGCUUUGCCUUCACUCAGCUCUUCAUUGCUUUCAGUGAUAAUUUACCACAAUUUACUAAAGGAAAUGUGUUAUUAGUAAUGUUUUUAGUCAAAUUUCUUGCCUUUCAAACUGCCAGAGAGCUGCCACACAUGUUCGGUAGUACCGUCUUAAACCAGACGUACAUGGAAAUGUAAAAAAUUGUAGUGCCUGUGCUAUACAUGUGCAAAUAGGACAACAAGAAAAAAGUUGUCAAUUUAUUUGUUUAAUGUUACGAUGAUUAUCUAUCAUUGAUAUAACACCUAUUUAGUAUCAGAAUUAAAGGCUGGGAUCAUGCUUGAUGCAGGUAGGCUUUUGGCAUUUAACAAUCUCACCCCACUCCGAUCACCAUAUAACCAUACUAUCCCCACUGCUGCAUACACUUCAUGCAUAAUCUGAAGCUAUUCCAAGUUUCACUGCUAUAGCCAAAUUAUGAUACAGCCUUGCCUAUGCCCAGUGACGAGCACUCAGGUACUAGAUCCUGCAGCCCCACCUCAAACUAGUCUUAUGAGCUAUUGGCAGCUCAUACUGCUCAGAGUUUUCUUACUGUUUCCAAAUGUCUCUAAUAAUUCUGAGUCAUAAGUUUCUGUUACUAAGAGAUUUAAAAACAGCUGAAAUAUACUAAACAAUAAAAACUGCAAAAAUAAGAAAGAUAAAAAUAUGAUAAAAAGCAAAUUUAUAAUAUUGUUACCUUUUUUAUUCUGCAAUUACUUCUUACUCAAACAUUAGGCUAGUGUUAAAUAAAACAAAACUUAACCUCCAUUUGCAUUUUCAAUGGAGCUUAGCUAUCUCAAUCAAAUUAAUUAUAUCAAUUUUGUCAGCGAUGCCUGGCAUAAAAUUGAAGGGCCAGAUACAAAGUGUAUUGGCAUCCUCACUUCGGCACAAAUAAGCUGCAUCCAUGAACUUGAUGACUUUCAGUGACAGACUGAAAGAUCAGAUACAUUGACACAAGUGUGGAAGAUAAGAGCUGGUUGACCUGCGCACUGCAACCAGCAGGUGAUUGUCUGUGGAACCAUGGACUGGUAAUCAGUGCAAUACAGCCUCGAGUCUCUAUAUUAUGCUAUCAAAUAUUCAGAAACAAAUGAAAGUAAUUUUAGAAGUCAACUUCUGUUGCUUUUCUCAUGGCUCAUUCUCUUCUCUUAGCAGCUCAGUAAGUUUAAAAUUUAGAAUAGUUUA